UCCAGAGGUCUCAAGCGUUGUUCGGAUUUACUGGGCGUAAAGGGCGCGUAGGCGGCAUGACAAGUCACUUGUGAAAUCUCUGAGCUUAACUCAGAACGGCCAAGUGAAACUGUUGUGCUAGAGUGCAGAAGGGGCAACUGGAAUUCUCGGUGUAGCGGUGAAAUGCGUAGAUAUCGAGAGGAACACCUGCGGCGAAGGCGGGUUGCUGGGCUGACACUGACGCUGAUGCGCGAAAGCCAGGGGAGCGAACGGG
rnacentral:rRNA from 1 species